rnacentral:rRNA from 3 species
GACGAACGCUGGCGGCGUGCCUAAUACAUGCAAGUCGAACGAACUCUGGUAUUGAUUGGUGCUUGCAUCAUGAUUUACAUUUGAGUGAGUGGCGAACUGGUGAGUAACACGUGGGAAACCUGCCCAGAAGCGGGGGAUAACACCUGGAAACAGAUGCUAAUACCGCAUAACAACUUGGACCGCAUGGUCCGAGCUUGAAAGAUGGCUUCGGCUAUCACUUUUGGAUGGUCCCGCGGCGUAUUAGCUAGAUGGUGGGGUAAUGGCUCACCAUGGCAAUGAUACGUAGCCGACCUGAGAGGGUAAUCGGCCACAUUGGGACUGAGACACGGCCCAAACUCCUACGGGAGGCAGCAGUAGGGAAUCUUCCACAAUGGACGAAAGUCUGAUGGAGCAACGCCGCGUGAGUGAAGAAGGGUUUCGGCUCGUAAAACUCUGUUGUUAAAGAAGAACAUAUCUGAGAGUAACUGUUCAGGUAUUGACGGUAUUUAACCAGAAAGCCACGGCUAACUACGUGCCAGCAGCCGCGGUAAUACGUAGGUGGCAAGCGUUGUCCGGAUUUAUUGGGCGUAAAGCGAGCGCAGGCGGUUUUUUAAGUCUGAUGUGAAAGCCUUCGGCUCAACCGAAGAAGUGCAUCGGAAACUGGGAAACUUGAGUGCAGAAGAGGACAGUGGAACUCCAUGUGUAGCGGUGAAAUGCGUAGAUAUAUGGAAGAACACCAGUGGCGAAGGCGGCUGUCUGGUCUGUAACUGACGCUGAGGCUCGAAAGUAUGGGUAGCAAACAGGAUUAGAUACCCUGGUAGUCCAUACCGUAAACGAUGAAUGCUAAGUGUUGGAGGGUUUCCGCCCUUCAGUGCUGCAGCUAACGCAUUAAGCAUUCCGCCUGGGGAGUACGGCCGCAAGGCUGAAACUCAAAGGAAUUGACGGGGGCCCGCACAAGCGGUGGAGCAUGUGGUUUAAUUCGAAGCUACGCGAAGAACCUUACCAGGUCUUGACAUACUAUGCAAAUCUAAGAGAUUAGACGUUCCCUUCGGGGACAUGGAUACAGGUGGUGCAUGGUUGUCGUCAGCUCGUGUCGUGAGAUGUUGGGUUAAGUCCCGCAACGAGCGCAACCCUUAUUAUCAGUUGCCAGCAUUAAGUUGGGCACUCUGGUGAGACUGCCGGUGACAAACCGGAGGAAGGUGGGGAUGACGUCAAAUCAUCAUGCCCCUUAUGACCUGGGCUACACACGUGCUACAAUGGAUGGUACAACGAGUUGCGAACUCGCGAGAGUAAGCUAAUCUCUUAAAGCCAUUCUCAGUUCGGAUUGUAGGCUGCAACUCGCCUACAUGAAGUCGGAAUCGCUAGUAAUCGCGGAUCAGCAUGCCGCGGUGAAUACGUUCCCGGGCCUUGUACACACCGCCCGUCACACCAUGAGAGUUUGUAACACCCAAAGUCGGUGGGGUAACCUUUUAGGAACCAGCCGCCUAAGGUGGGACAGAUGAUUAGGGUG